rnacentral:tRNA from 1 species
GGCCUGACGCGCGUCCGACUGAAAAUCGGAAGGUCGGCGGUUCGACCCCGCCCCUGGCCA